UCCCUCAUCUGCUCUAAUGAUGGCCCCUCUUCUCUACUCUCUCCUCUAUCUGACAUGUCCAAAGGAAAUAAUCUCACCAAGCAUCACGUGGCCGGUCGCUCUCCUCACUCCACGCCGUGCAGUUUUCAGGUGCUGCAGGCUGCACCAUGAUGACACCAGGAGACUCGCAGCUGGACGGCUCAAGCUCCCGUUUCCUGCCCAGAGUCCAGGACCUUUCCUCUUCCACCAGGACACACCGUCAGCACUGGUUUCACAUGUUUCAAAUCUAUAUCUCUCCAGUAGGAAUACAAAUGCCUCAGCAUGUGUCAGUGUCUCCUGUAGAUGUACAUUACAUGUAUCCUGGAAGCAGAGCCCAUUUCAAACAAGGAUCCGGUGAAACAGUGGGAGGUCAGUUUCCACUCUCUUCUUUGUGCCCACUAUUCAAAACAACUUGCUGAACCUGUUCUCAAAAACAUGUGAUGUAUAAAAGUUACAAUCACAAAUAUCUUUCUUUCAAAUCAGUGGAUGGUGAUGAGCGUGUCUGUGAGAGCUGCAGUGGUGCCAAGUCCAACCACAAGAGGGCGCUGAGGAGCAGCACACAGCACAGGCAAACUGGUAUCGCAUGUAAUACUUGCACUCGUGCUGUACUGAAUACUGUGCAUGUAAAUAACAGUUUGUGAUUCAUAAAAGGAUCAACUGAUUUUAAAUCAAACUUCUCUGUCCUUGCAGGGAAAUGUAUUUUGCACGCAAUGAUAUUUCUCUCCUGAAGGCUGAUUACAACUGAAAUAUCUGUUAAAGUCAUUUAAUAUAAAAUGUUUAAGCACCUGUAAGUAAAACGUGUCUUAAUGCACAAUAAUACACUAUUUUAUAAAGUAUGAUUUAAAAAAAUAUAAAUAAUAAUUACUAAGUGGUUUACAUGGUUUAACCGAGAUUACAACAUUUCAGGACUGCAAUGAGGCAAAUAAAAUCAUUUAAAAUAAUUUAAAAAAAAGGAAAUGUAGUAAAAUACCCUACAAUUUGUUUGUAUAUUAAUAAUUAAGAUAGUCCUAACAGUAAAAUUGUUCUUAAUACUACAGUGCACGUGUUUAGAGCUUUGUUACCCUUUGUUUUAUUUGCAGACUAAAUCUGCAGAUGCAUUUAAAGUAUCAAAGUGCUCUUUCCAUUUCUUUUAAAUGAGUCGUGUAAUAAAACUCAGCUGGAUGCUGGAGUAUGUACACAAUUAGAUCUAUAUGUAAUAUUCAUUGAAUAAAUUGUUUCCAGGUGUAACGAUAACAUAACAAAAACGACAUAUUUUAGGGAAUUCUUUGAAUUUGUCUGAAUCUUUUGCCUUUUUUCCUCCGAUGGUGGAUAAUGUACUUUGCUGCGCUCCUGUUUGAUGUUAUUACCAGUAAUCAUGUCACAUUAAAUGCCAAUUUUGUAGCGUAGUACUGCCUGAUAAUCAUGACAUUGUUUGGACACAUGUUGGCUGAAAGCUCAGCGGUCUGUCUGAUGCUUUCAUCGUAUAACUUUCAUCUUUGCAACAUGUGACCUGAAUGUAUUCUAGUAGUCAUAAUGUGGCCGGUGAAAUCAAACGACCGCUACAUUUUCUUUCUAUUUGUGGUUUCUUUUUCAACCCUGCACGACAACAUCUGUCAACACCACUCUUUUAAAAAAAAAAAUUUGUAUUAAAUGCUUAACUUACACAGGCGGCUCAUGUAGUGUUGAUGUCGGUCGUGAUCUCUCCGCCUGGAAGCUUUCAUUUUACUCUUCUGUUGGACAAAGUUGCGUGUCCUUUUAUUGGAGAAGCUGCAUUCCCUCCAAUGUGUUUCUAAUACAACUGUAAAACAACAAGGAUCUGGGAACAUUUUUGCAAUCAGAGAACUUAAGAAAUGCUUAGAUUUGUUUGCUAUUACCUAAUUUGUAAAUGGAUAAAAAAAAACCCUUGCAUGUUAUGUAAAACAGGUGGUUGCUGUUUGCUAACAAAAGGUUCCCUGGUGUGCAUCUUGGACCUUUAGGCUACAAGGAUGCUCCACAAUGAUAAAUGUGUGAGCUGGUAAAUGCCUGUUGGAAUUUCUGGAUGUCUUUCUCUCUUUACACGGAUCUUUUGUCUUGACCUUAAUUCCUUAAAUGCAGCAGGUUAAUUUGCAAUUUAUUGGUGAGUUUCCCUUCACUGCAGAACACCAGUCUGCUGCCAACACUCGUGUCAAAGACAAGCGAGGGAAGCUUGGGGAAACAAAAACAUUGCAUUUGGAUUCAUGGCAACCGGGAUCAUUUUCCAAUCUGCUCUUUUUUUUUUUUGUUGCCAAACUCUUGUUUUAGAGCCAAAGCCUUGUUUUGUCUUGUUGGACUGAAGCAAAGACGUGCUCUGUGUAGAUUUGUGAAGAAGAACAUUUACAUUUGUGUUUGUUUUUAAUGCUAUAUGUUGAUACAGUUGAUAAGAGAAGCGUCUGUCCAUCUUUUCCUUCCUCUCCAUACUGCUGUAUACAUCGGUGAAUGUCAGAGGGGGAAGGAACAUGAUCUCCUUGACGAUCUACUCGGAUGACGGGGGCAACCCCCCUGAUAUGGACAGGACAUUUGAGAUACAUCUCCACGUUAAUAGAGGAUCUUCUUACAGCCUCUGAACCUUGAUAUCCCCAAGUAAAACACACGGAGAACUGUACUAGUAACCUCCGCGGAGGAGGUCAUGUGUUUGGUUCGGUUUGUUUGUCAGCAGGAUUAAACUCCUAAUCUGAUUUUCAUACAACUUGGUCAACGCAGAACCUAUUCAUCUUUAGAGCGGUGGCCUUAUACUCCUAAUGCUGCUUUUGUGGAAGGUCUUUUUGCAACUGUUUACACAACAGUGUCAUCGGCAUACAUGUGAUCAGGAGUAAAUUGUAGGGGGUCCUAACACUGAUCUCUGUGGUACACCCAUUUUCUUCCAUUGACAUGUUUUGUCGAUGUGGUGCAGCCGUAUGUCAGAUCCUCAGAGAGCACAUCAUCUCAUGUGUGGUACCUGAACAUGCAAUUAAAGUUGUUGUUUUAAAGAGCAUUCGUGGUGUUUUGUUUGCAUCUGUAAUCGAGAAAUAAAUGUAGAUUGUGGAUGCAAAUACACAGUCUGCAUACAUGAAUAAAUAAAUGUUCUAUCUAUUGCAUCUUCACAUUCCUAUCUGAUUA
rnacentral:lncRNA from 1 species